CGCAGACUCUUGGAUAUGUAAUUGGUGGCACUAACAUGAGAAGCGACACCAACCAUCUCACAGAAGGGAUCAAUAUCUUAAUUGCCACACUGGACAGGCUUUUGGACCAUCUGCAAAAUACCGGUAGUUUCAAAUACAAAGAGCUAAAGAGUACCAAAAAGGUGAGCAGGCGCUAUCCUAAAAUUGAGAAGAGCCAGGCUACUAGAAAAAGAAGAAGAGCAUUCUUCAAGAUCUAGAUUAUGUC